GACGAACGCUGGCGGCGUGCCUAAUACAUGCAAGUCGAACGCUGAAGGAGGAGCUUGCUUCUCUGGAUGAGUUGCGAACGGGUGAGUAACGCGUAGGUAACCUGCCUGGUAGCGGGGGAUAACUAUUGGAAACGAUAGCUAAUACCGCAUAAUACUAGACGUUGCAUGAUAUUUUCUUAAAAGGUGCAAUUGCAUCUCUACCAGAUGGCCCUGCGUUGUAUUAGCUAGUUGGUGGGGUAACGGCUCACCAAGGCGACGAUACAUAGCCGACCGGGGAGGGUGAUCGGCCACACGGGGACGGGGACACGGCCCAGACUCCUGCGGGAGGCAGCAGUAGGGAACCUUAGGCAAUGGAGGGAAGUCUGGCCGAGUAAGGCAGAGUGAGAGGAGGAGGUUUUCGGAUCGUAAAGCUCGGUUGUAGGAGAAGAACGAGUGUGAGAGUGGAAAGUGCACAAUGUGACGGUAUCUUAAGAGAAAGCGACGGCUAACUACGUG
rnacentral:rRNA from 1 species